UACGUAGGGGGGCGAGCGUUGUCCGGAUUUAUUGGGCGUAAAGAGCUCGUAGGUGGUUCGCUAAGUCGGAUGUGAAAUCUCCAAGCUCAACUUGGAGCGGUCAUUCGAUACUGGCGUGACUUGAGUACGGUAGGGGACCACGGAAUUCCUGGUGUAGCGGUGAAAUGCACAGAUAUCAGGAGGAACACCGGUGGCGAAGGCGGUGGUCUGGGCCGUAACUGACGCUGAGGAGCGAAAGCGUGGGGAGCAAACGGG
rnacentral:rRNA from 1 species